rnacentral:rRNA from 1 species
UACGUAGGUGGCAAGCGUUGUCCGGAAUUAUUGGGCGUAAAGGGCGCGUAGGCGGCCGGACAAGUGGAAGGUGAAAUCCCCGAGCUCAACUCGGGAACUGCCCUCCAAACUGUUUGGCUUGAGUCCGGGAGAGGUGAGUGGAAUUCCCAGUGUAGCGGUGAAAUGCGUAGAUAUUGGGAGGAACACCAGUGGCGAAGGCGGCUCACUGGACCGGAACUGACGCUGAGGCGCGAAAGCGUGGGGAGCAAACAGG